rnacentral:rRNA from 1 species
AUUGAACGUUGGCGGCAGGCUUAACACAUGCAAGUCGAACGAUGAAACUCUAGCUUGCUAGAGAAGAUUAGUGGCGGACGGGUGAGUAACAUUUAGGAAUCUGCCUAGUAGUGGGGGAUAGCUCGGGGAAACUCGAAUUAAUACCGCAUACGACCUACGGGUGAAAGAGGGCGCAAGCUCUUGCUAUUAGAUGAGCCUAAAUCAGAUUAGCUAGUUGGUGGGGUAAAGGCCCACCAAGGCGACGAUCUGUAACUGGUCUGAGAGGAUGAUCAGUCACACCGGAACUGAGACACGGUCCGGACUCCUACGGGAGGCAGCAGUGGGGAAUAUUGGACAAUGGGGGCAACCCUGAUCCAGCCAUGCCGCGUGUGUGAAGAAGGCCUUUUGGUUGUAAAGCACUUUAAGCAGGGAGGAGAGGCUAAUGGUUAAUACCCAUUAGAUUAGACGUUACCUGCAGAAUAAGCACCGGCUAACUCUGUGCCAGCAGCCGCGGUAAUACAGAGGGUGCGAGCGUUAAUCGGAAUUACUGGGCGUAAAGCGAGUGUAGGUGGCUCAUUAAGUCACAUGUGAAAUCCCCGGGCUUAACCUGGGAACUGCAUGUGAUACUGGUGGUGCUAGAAUAUGUGAGAGGGAAGUAGAAUUCCAGGUGUAGCGGUGAAAUGCGUAGAGAUCUGGAGGAAUACCGAUGGCGAAGGCAGCUUCCUGGCAUAAUAUUGACACUGAGAUUCGAAAGCGUGGGUAGCAAACAGGAUUAGAUACCCUGGUAGUCCACGCCGUAAACGAUGUCUACUAGCCGUUGGGGUCCUUGAGACUUUAGUGGCGCAGUUAACGCGAUAAGUAGACCGCCUGGGGAGUACGGCCGCAAGGUUAAAACUCAAAUGAAUUGACGGGGGCCCGCACAAGCGGUGGAGCAUGUGGUUUAAUUCGAUGCAACGCGAAGAACCUUACCUGGUCUUGACAUAGUGAGAAUCUUUCAGAGAUGAGAGAGUGCCUUCGGGAAUUCACAUACAGGUGCUGCAUGGCUGUCGUCAGCUCGUGUCGUGAGAUGUUGGGUUAAGUCCCGCAACGAGCGCAACCCUUUUCCUUAUUUGCCAGCGGGUUAAGCCGGGAACUUUAAGGAUACUGCCAGUGACAAACUGGAGGAAGGCGGGGACGACGUCAAGUCAUCAUGGCCCUUACGACCAGGGCUACACACGUGCUACAAUGGUAGGUACAGAGGGUUGCUACACAGCGAUGUGAUGCUAAUCUCAAAAAGCCUAUCGUAGUCCGGAUUGGAGUCCGCAACUCGACUCCAUGAAGUCGGAAUCGCUAGUAAUCGCAGAUCAGAAUGCUGCGGUGAAUACGUUCCCGGGCCU